rnacentral:sRNA from 1 species
AUGAGUCUCCCCGGCGCCCCGUGGCCGAAGAGCUAGGUGUACCGUGCAAUCCCCGCCCGACUGGCCCCCGGCGCUGCGCGCCCUCCACCGCUCGGCCCGCGCGCUGCUCUUCCCGGCCUACUGGGCCCUGGACCAGCCGCUGGGUGGCUGAGGAGGGCGGCGGGCGGCGGCGCGGCGCUGCUGCUGCUGCUGCUGGUGGUCGGCCUGCCCCCGGCGCUGCCCGGCCUGCCGCUCUGGCUGAAGCUGCAGGUUUGGCGCCGCCCCUUCUGCUACCGCCCCCUCCGCUGUGCUGGGCGCCGCCCGCCUGCCGAACCCGGGCGCUGCUUCGUCUUCCUCACGGCCAAUCUGUGCCUGCUCCCCGACGGGCUAGCGCGCUUCAGCAACCUACCGCACAGCCAGCGACCGGCCGAGGCCAUUGGCGCCGCGCUGCUGGCCGGAGCGCGGCCCGCGCUCUACAGGGCUACGGACUGCAGUCAGCCGUGGCCCAGGGCGCCGCGCGGGGCGCUGGUGGUCUCGCUGCCCGUGGGUCUGGACUUUGUGUGCCUGCAGGAGGUAUUCGAUCUGCGCGCGGCUCGUCGCUUGGUGAAUCGCCUGGCGCCCAACCUGAGCCCGUUGCUGUACGACGUGGGCACGCUCGGCCUAAAGCCCGGGCCGCACCUCAAGCUGCUGGACAGCGGGCUGCUGCUGGCCUCGCGCUACCCGCUGCUGCGCACCACCGUCGGUUGCUUCCCCCACGCACGUGGCGAGGACGCGCUGGCCUCCAAGGGACUAUUGUCCGCACAGGCGAGGCUGGGCAGCCUGGACCGGCGCCGCAUCGUGGGAUUCCUGCACUGCACGUAUUUGCAAGCACUGGCUGAUCAGGAACUGGGGAGACGGGCGCUGACUGUCCAGGAUGCGGGUUCGAAUCUGGAGCCAAGCCCACCCCACCCCCCUCCCCCACGCAGAGGACGGGCCCUUGCGCAGCAAACAGCUGAGGCUGCUGCUGGACUGGGCCGAGUUUGGGGCCGAGAAGUUUGAGGCCGACAGAGAACAAAGUGGAGAGGUCGUGACUUUCAGCGUGCUCCUGGGCGACCUAAACUUCGAUAACUGCUCGAAAGACCACCGGCUGCAGCAGGAGCACGAGCUCUUCCGCUGCUUCCAGGAUCCCUGCCGGCUGGGCACGCGCCAAAAGCAGCCCUGGGCCCUGGGGACAGCGCUGAGCACCUCCGUGCUCCAUCACUCCGUGGCCUCCUCCCCCAAGAUGCCGAGGCGGGCCCUGGAGCAGGAGAAAGGGCGCCACCUCUACCUGGCCGGCCCUCCCGGCAGAAGCCGCUGAGCUAAGCCCUGGAGAGGAGGUGGAGCAGGUGACGUUCAGUACUGCCCUGGCGGGGCUCACGGACCACCCGGCAGUGGGCCUGCAGCUCCGAGUCUCAGUGUCCUCC